rnacentral:lncRNA from 1 species
CUAUCGGAUUUCGAAGAGGACGGUACGUUUUACUUAUACUCUGUGCUUCAAAACUAUAAUAUACAUUUUCUUCGAUUAAUUAUCAAUCAAUUAAGGAGAAGACACUAGGCAUACUAUUUUGAUACGCAUUCGAGAAAUACGAGGAAGAAUAAGACAACGAAGGAGGAAAAGAAGAAAAAGAAGAAGAAGAAGAAGAGAAAGGGCGCUAAACCGCAACAGAGAACGUUCCUUUCGUGAGAGCGAAGAAGUGGCAAGAAAUGCACCAAAAGGAACUGGGCAAAGCGGCGAUUUAAUUACUGAUAGCGUAGCUAAGCCAUGAGGCCAGCCUGCGGUUUUAGUCGAAAGGCUUGAGUCUACCUGAGGUCGUUGCCAGAGGACACGAUUCUCUGAUCUCUCUACAUAUAUUUACGUAUGUAUAUUACGAUCAAAUGUAGUAAUACGGACACUGUAUACAUUGCACGGUCAAUCUAUAGAAUGCCCAAAAGGUUUACUUAUUCUAGAAUAUAUGUUUCAGUUGGCUAUGUUUAGGAGAACGAAAUUCGAAGUGAUCGUCUAAGUGAAACAUACCAUGGAAAUUAACAAAAUUUCUUCGCAAUGUCCUUAACGAGUUUCGAUUAAUCUUUAAAAUAUGUUUCAGUGGGAUGUGUUAAAGCAUGGAAAUUUUGUUGAAGGUUUCGUCAGAGUUUUUUCUGUGUUUUUUUCUUCCAGAUUAAAAGAUGUAUUCAAAUAAAAAAAAAAAAGAACCCUGACGUAACGCAGCAAAAAAUAAAUUUAUGACAAAUUUGGUUAAGUUCGGAGAUAAUUCGCAAAGAAAGCUUGAUACGAAUAAUGUUAGUAACAUUUGUUUUUAUUAUACAAAAUUGUAUAUUCUUCAGACAUCAGUAAAAAAAAGGAGGAGGGGAAGAGUAAAUUUAUGAAUGUACGUUCCGGGCCGCAAGUUGAGUAUGGUUAAUAUAAACCAAGUAAUUGUGCUUAGUAA